rnacentral:rRNA from 1 species
GACAGAGGGUGCAAACGUUGUUCGGAAUUACUGGGCGUAAAGCGUGUGUAGGCGGCUACGCAAGUCGGAUGUGAAAGCCCGGGCUCAACCCGGGAAGUGCACCCGAAACUGCGUGGCUCGAGUACCGGAGAGGUUGGUGGAAUUCUCGGUGUAGAGGUGAAAUUCGUAGAUAUCGAGAGGAACACCGGUGGCGAAGGCGGCCAACUGGACGAGUACUGACGCUGAGACACGAAAGCGUGGGGAGCAAACAGG